UACGUAGGGGGCAAGCGUUGUCCGGAUUUAUUGGGCGUAAAGAGCGUGUAGGCGGCCAGGUAGGUCCGUUGUGAAAACUGGAGGCUUAACCUCCAGCUGUCGAUGGAAACCAUCUGGCUAGAGUCCGGAAGAGGAGAGUGGAAUUCCUGGUGUAGCGGUGAAAUGCGCAGAUAUCAGGAAGAACACCCGUGGCGAAAGCGGCUCUCUGGAACGGUACUGACGCUGAGACGCGAAAGCGUGGGGAGCGAACAGG
rnacentral:rRNA from 1 species